rnacentral:rRNA from 1 species
CACCGCGGUUAUACGAGAGGCCCAAGCUGACAGUUUUCGGCGUAAAGAGUGGUUAAUGGAUCCUUAAACUAAAGCCGAACGUCUUCAAAGCCGUUUAACGCAUUCGAAGAUAUGAAGCCCAUCUACGAAGGUGGCUUUAUGACUUUUGAACCCACGAAAGCUGGGAAACAAACUGGGAUUAGAUACCCCACUAUGCCCAGCCUUAAACCUAGAUGAAACAAUACCUAUUUUAUCCGCCCGGGUACUACGAGCACGAGCUUAAAACCCAAAGGACUUGGCGGUGCUUCACACCCACCUAGAGGAGCCUGUUCUAGAACCGAUGACCCCCGUUCAACCUCACCUUUUCUUGUUUACCCCGCCUAUAUACCGCCGUCGUCAGCCCACCCUGUGAAGGAUUUUUAGUGAGCAGAAUUGGCACAGCCCAAAACGUCAGGCCGAGGUGUAGCGUAUGGGAAGGGAAGAAAUGGGCUACAAUUGCUUAAAUAGCUAAUACGAAUUGUUACGCUGAAAUCGCAAACAUGAAGGAGGAUUUAGAAGUAAGAGGAUAAACAGAGUGUUCCUCUGAAAUGGCUCUGAAGCGCGCACACACCGCCCGUCACUCUCCCCAAGCUAGACCGAACUCGCAUAACUAAAUAGCAUCACCCUACAAAGGGGAGGCAAGUCGUAA